rnacentral:rRNA from 1 species
UGGGGAAUUUUGGACAAUGGGCGAAAGCCUGAUCCAGCAAUGCCGCGUGUGUGAAGAAGGCCUUCGGGUUGUAAAGCACUUUUGUCCGGAAAGAAAUCCUUGGCUCUAAUACAGUCGGGGGAUGACGGUACCGGAAGAAUAAGCACCGGCUAACUACGUGCCAGCAGCCGCGGUAAUACGUAGGGUGCAAGCGUUAAUCGGAAUUACUGGGCGUAAAGCGUGCGCAGGCGGUUUGCUAAGACCGAUGUGAAAUCCCCGGGCUCAACCUGGGAACUGCAUUGGUGACUGGCAGGCUAGAGUAUGGCAGAGGGGGGUAGAAUUCCACGUGUAGCAGUGAAAUGCGUAGAGAUGUGGAGGAAUACCGAUGGCGAAGGCAGCCCCCUGGGCCAAUACUGACGCUCAUGCACGAAAAGCGUGGGGAGCAAACAGGAUUAGAUACCCUGGUAGUCCACGCCCUAAACGAUGUCAACUAGUUGUUGGGGAUUCAUUUCCUUAGUAACGUAGCUAACGCGUGAAGUUGACCGCCUGGGGAGUACGGUCGCAAGAUUAAAACUCAAGGAAUUGACGGGGUCAUAGCUGUUUCC